UUCUCCUCAUGUGGGUGGUAUUAAAAAUGCAAGUUUUAGGGCAAGAAAGGGGACUUGGGUAUGUGACAACUUAUAAUUUCAUGAUUGAAUGAAUGUUUGUUCCACCGUUGACUAACUUUUGAUGGUUAUUUUCUGUGAGAUGUGUUGGAGUUGCUGCAAAUUUAACUUGGUGAUAAAAAUGUAAGUUUUACAAUGAGAAAGGAAUUUAGUUUUGUCACAUCUUCAAAUCGUGUGAAUGAAAGAAUGAUUGUUUGAGCUGUACUGGUCUAACUUUACAUGCUUGUUUGUUGCAGAAUGCAUCAAAGUUGUUAAGAAAUUGACUAUGUGAGUGGUGAUAAAAAAAAAACACAAGUUUCAAGUCAAGAAGAGAAUUUGAAUUUGUUAUAACUUAUAAAGCCACUUGAUAUGGAUUUGGGAUGACCUUAGGCUAUUAAAGUAUGGUUAGUGAUGCCAAAAAAAAGCAUAUGUGUUUUUAAUAAAAAGUACCAUUAAGAAAAAAUUAUAUAUAAAUAUAUAUAUAUAUAUAUAUAUAUAAAUUAUAAAAUCUUCUAUACAAUCUUUUUUUUUAGAAAGUUUGUACAUAAGCAAAACAAAGACCAUUCUUUAUCUAGCCAACUUUCUUUUUGUACUCAAGUCUUUAUAUA
rnacentral:lncRNA from 1 species